AGCUUUGCACAGUGACAGUAUCGUAGCCAAGGCAGAGUUUUUGCUUAUUGAAAACUUUUCCCAAUACCUCACUAUGAUGACUUCAUAUAUAGUUUGCAAUGGCAAUUCUUGAUGGUCUCAGCAGAGA